rnacentral:rRNA from 4 species
GUGCGUAUCUUGAAUGUCAAAACGACUCUCGGCAACGGAUAUCUCGGCUCUCGCAUCGAUGAAGAACGUAGCGAAAUGCGAUACUUGGUGUGAAUUGCAGAAUCCCGUGAACCAUCGAGUCUUUGAACGCAAGUUGCGCCCGAAGCCUUCGGGCCGAGGGCACGCCUGCCUGGGCGUCA